AUUUUUUUUUUUUUUUUUUUUUUUUUUUUACUUUUGCGAAAGUGGUCAUGCCGACGACGAGGAAGGU
rnacentral:ribozyme from 14 species